UCUCCAUCUUCUAACCCUGUCACUUUCUUGUCCAAAUCUGAGUUCAUGUUUCUUGAAAGCAUCUUCAAAGGCUCCAAUUUGAUGCCUGACGUUGCAAGGCUUGACAUGAUAGAACACUGCCACAAUCUGUAGCCCCAGGUUGUUGCUGCACUCAACUAAAUAUUAUGCUCAGUAAAAUACUCUCAUUGUUUUGUUGCUUUUAUUUUUUUGUAAUUUUGAAUGACUUUAUAAGCCUAAUGAAAUUUGCAUAAAAAUUAUAGUAAAGGAAGUUUACAGAGAAAGUGGCUUCAUCAUUGCUAGGAUCAAAACUCGCUAGUCAUAUGCAACCAGAAAUUAUAGAAACCUAUAUCUGUAUCAAACAAUACCAUAUAUAAUUAUACAUGUCUUGAAGCAAAUUAUGGAUGGCAAACAUAUUAUUCUCAUCUAUUGUUAUCAAUGGUCUUUCCAUCAAUACAACCUUCAAAAUAAUAACCCUGGUUUUUUUAAUGAAUUUGUUACAUAGUGUCUUCUUUUUCUUUUAAAACAACAAGCAAUAUCUAAAAAGACAUUCUUUUCCAUGAAAUCUAAACUGUCAUGACUUAUUCUCUUCAACAUUAUUGGGCCAUGAAUGCUCUUUACUAUUUCAAUACGAUGUCAAUACUUGAAGUGCCAAUGGAAGACCACCAAUAUAUUUGACCACUUCUAUGGAUAAACUCAAAUACCCUUGGACGGGUUUUUAUUGUUUCAAAGCUUUUAAACAAAAGAGAUCAAAUUUAAAACCAAUAAAGUCAUUAAGUAAUCGACCACUUAGUUUUUGUUUUCUUGAAUGUUUCUUCUUUAUUAAGUAAUCGACCACUUACUCUGAUGCAUAGGUAGGAGGAACCAGGGAAUGAUGCACAAAUUCUGUAACUAUACUAGUAAGGAAGUAAAUUGAUAUACUUGUGACAUAUUUUUCAGGAAUUAGACUAAUGUGAGAUAUUUUUCAGGGGACUAAAUUGAUAUACUUGUAAGGAAGUAAAGAAGGUACAAAAUAUAGAGUGGUCAUCUCCAUCAGUAGGGUCAACAACUUCCAAAGUUUGUGACGUAUAAGAGAAUUGGAAAGCCUACGAAGCCAAAUCCUUGCCCAUGCUACCAAUGUACACUAUGGAUUACUAUUGCAACUGAAGGGGUCAAAUGUGGGAAUUCUUGUUUCUGGACCCAAAGAAAUGAGGCAGAAGGUAGAAGCUGUUUGCUCAUCUAAUUUGGUUGAAAAUCUGAAUUUUGAGUCCUUUAGCUUUAACGGGUGAUUUUACUUGUAUUGUUAAAAGAUGUAAGAUGCUUAACUAUUAGCAAGAGUUGAUCUUAGCUGCUUAUUUUGAGUUAGAAUUUUUGUUAUUUUUUGAUAGUGUAAAUUGGUUAUGUAACAAGUUAGACCCUAGUCCCUAGCUACCACCAAUAACAGUGCUUGCUUCUAAAUACUUGUAGUCUCUUGCUUCUAAAAAAAUAAAAUCUGUCAUGAGGAACACACACACAAAAUAAAUAAAAAGGUUUUUAGUUCCA